AGCGAACGCUGGCGGCAGGCUUAACACAUGCAAGUCGAGCGGGCGUAGCAAUACGUCAGCGGCAGACGGGUGAGUAACGCGUGGGAACGUACCUUUUGGUUCGGAACAACACAGGGAAACUUGUGCUAAUACCGGAUAAGCCCUUACGGGAAAAGAUUUAUCGCCGAAAGAUCGGCCCGCGUCUGAUCAGCUAGUUGGUGAGGUAAUGGCUCACCAAGGCGACGAUCAGUAGCUGGUCUGAGAGGAUGAUCAGCCACAUUGGGACUGAGACACGGCCCAAACUCCUACGGGAGGCAGCAGUGGGAAUAUUGGACAAUGGGCGCAAGCCUGAUCCAGCCAUGCCGCGUGAGUGAUGAAGGCCCUAGGGUUGUAAAGCUCUUUUGUGCGGGAAGAUAAUGACGGUACCGCAAGAAUAA
rnacentral:rRNA from 1 species